UGGGAGAAGGCUGUUACUCU
rnacentral:miRNA from 1 species